UACGGGGGGGGCAAGCGUUGUUCGGAAUUACUGGGCGUAAAGGGCUCGUAGGCGGCCAACUAAGUCAUACGUGAAAUCCCUCAGCUUAACUGGGGAACUGCGUGUGAUACUGGAUGGCUUGGAUGUGGGAGAGGGAUGCGGAAUUCCAGGUGUAGCGGUGAAAUGCGUAGAUAUCUGGAGGAACACCGGUGGUGUAGACGGCUUUCUGGACCGUAACUGACGCUGAGACACGAAAGCGUGGGUAGCAAACAGG
rnacentral:rRNA from 1 species